rnacentral:rRNA from 1 species
UACGUAGGCAGCAAGCGUUGUUCGGAAUUACUGGGCGUAAAGAGUGUGUAGGCGGUGCUCUAAGUUCGGUGUGAAAUCUCCCGGCUCAACGUGGAGGGUGCGCCGGAAACUGGAAUGCUUGAGCGUGGGAGAGGAAAGCGGAAUUCCUGGUGUAGCGGUGAAAUGCGUAGAUAUCAGAAGGAACACCUGCGGUGUAGACGGCUUUCUGGACCAUUGCUGACGCUGAGGCGCGAAAGCGUGGGUAGCAAACAGG